AGUGAACGCUGGCGGCAGGCCUAACACAUGCAAGUCGAGCGGCAGCGCGGGGGCAACCCUGGCGGCGAGCGGCGGGCGGGGGAGGAAUUCGUCGGAGUCUGCCGCUUUGGGGGGGAUAACGUAGGGAAACUUACGCUAAUACCGCAUACGUCCUACGGGAGAAAGUGGGGGACCGCAAGGCCUCACGCGGAAAGAGGAGCCGACGACCGAUUAGCUAGUUGGUGGGGUAAAGGCCCACCAAGGCGGCGAUCGGUAGCUGGUCGGUGUGGGGGGUUGGCCACACUGGGACUGGGACACGGACCAUGCUCCUGCGAGAGGCAGCAGUGUGGAAUGUGGGGCAAUGGGGGGAAGCCUGGUCCAGCCGUGCCGCGUGUGAGGAGACGGCGUUCGGGUUGUAAAGAACUUCUGUGCGGAGAGAACCCCCUGGGGCUAAGACCUACGGGGGGUGACGGUACCGGGUGAAUAAGCACCGGCUAACUUCGUG
rnacentral:rRNA from 1 species